AAAAACACGUUGAGAGGAAAGAGUAGUUCAUCCUCGUUGAGUUAGAGAGCCUCAGUUGUGGUGAGAUGAGGUAGAGACGAAAUGAACGAAAAUCAUCCUUGAGUGAUUUCUUGAAAGGCUCAGCCGAGUAAAGUAGAUUGGAAAGCACCCAUUACAGUGCCGGCGUAUGAAUGUACGUUGCGAGAUCUAGUUAGUGAUAGUUAGAUGAACAUAGGUGGUAACACGGUGUUUUUCCGUCCUAUUG
rnacentral:ncRNA from 1 species